rnacentral:rRNA from 1 species
AUUGAACGCUGGCGGCAGGCUUAACACAUGCAAGUCGAGCGGGGGAAGGUAGCUUGCUACCGGACCUAGCGGCGGACGGGUGAGUAAUGCUUAGGAAUCUGCCUAUUAGUGGGGGACAACAUCUCGAAAGGGAUGCUAAUACCGCAUACGUCCUACGGGAGAAAGCAGGGGAUCUUCGGACCUUGCGCUAAUAGAUGAGCCUAAGUCGGAUUAGCUAGUUGGUGGGGUAAAGGCCUACCAAGGCGACGAUCUGUAGCGGGUCUGAGGGGAUGAUCCGCCACACUGGGACAGAAACACGGCCCAGACUCCUACGGGAGGCAGCAGGGGGGAAUAUUGGACAAUGGGGGAAACCCUGAUCCAGCCAUGCCGCGUGUGUGAAGAAGGCCCUAUGGUUGUAAAGCACUUUAAGCGAGGAGGAGGCUACUCUAGUUAAUACCUAGGGAUAGUGGACGUUACUCGCAGAAUAAGCACCGGCUAACUCUGUGCCAGCAGCCGCCGCGG